rnacentral:rRNA from 1 species
UGGCAAGUCGAACGAGCGAGAGAGAGCUUGCUUUCUCGAGCGAGUGGCGAACGGGUGAGUAACGCGUGAGGAACCUGCCUCAAAGAGGGGGACAACAGUUGGAAACGACUGCUAAUACCGCAUAAGCCCACGGUGCCGCAUGGCACAGAGGGAAAAGGAGCAAUCCGCUUUGAGAUGGCCUCGCGUCCGAUUAGCUAGUUGGUGAGGUAACGGCCCACCAAGGCGACGAUCGGUAGCCGGACUGAGAGGUUGAACGGCCACAUUGGGACUGAGACACGGCCCAGACUCCUACGGGAGGCAGCAGUGGGGAAUAUUGUACAAUGGGGGAAACCCUGAUGCAGCGACGCCGCGUGGAGGAAGAAGGUCUUCGGAUUGUAAACUCCUGUUGUUGGGGAAGAUAAUGACGGUACCCAACAAGGAAGUGACGGCUAACUACGUGCCAGCAGCCGCGGUAAAACGUAGGUCACAAGCGUUGUCCGGAAUUACUGGGUGUAAAGGGAGCGCAGGCGGGAAGACAAGUUGGAAGUGAAAUCUAUGGGCUCAACCCAUAAACUGCUUUCAAA